CAGGACCCAGCACCCAACAGAUGCCUUUGGAAUAUUAGUGUGGUGAUUCUACCCAGAAGCCAGGAUAGAGACUGUGGUUGGGUCUAGUUCUCAGAAUCAAAGCCACCCCACCCCCACCUCUGGUUGCUUUCACGUAGUUCCCUGAGAGACUUCCUCCACAGUAACCGUUGCUCCCACAGCCUGAUUUGGAUGCUUCCCUCCCUCUUCACUGACAUCACUGCUUUUCCCCCAGGAAACUAGUGUUGAGAGGAGAGAGGCCCAGGAGGGAGCACAGUGAUGUGCAGUUCUCUACCCACCACCCCCGUAACUUUUUUUAAAAGUUGCCUCUUCUCA
rnacentral:lncRNA from 1 species